rnacentral:rRNA from 1 species
GACGAAGGGGGCUAGCGUUGUUCGGAUUUACUGGGCGUAAAGCGCACGUAGGCGGAUUGUUAAGUCAGGGGUGAAAUCCCGGAGCUCAACUCCGGAACUGCCUUUGAUACUGGCAAUCUUGAGGCUGGAAGAGGUUAGUGGAAUUCCCAGUGUAGAGGUGAAAUUCGUAGAUAUUGGGAAGAACACCAGUGGCGAAGGCGGCUAACUGGUCCAGAUCUGACGCUGAGGUGCGAAAGCGUGGGGAGCAAACAGG